rnacentral:lncRNA from 1 species
AGCUCUCUUGUUUAGUUUCUGCUGCUGGAGGGGUCGUAAGAUCAUCGAUGUCUAUCGCCUUCGUGGCUACUCCAGGUUCUUCUCCUUCGCUGAUUACUGCUGGUUUUUCGGUUUUGCUAGCGGCUUUUGGAUCCUCUUGUAGCAGCGGACUCUCUUCCUCGCUGGUGGGAGUCGUUUCCUCGACUUGCUCUUUGUCUUCCUUCUGAGCGUCUGCUAGCUCGUCUUCGACAGUGAUGGGAGCUGCGUCAUCUGGAGCAGUGAUAGCUUUGUCUUUGGCUGGUGUGAAAUCUUCUGGUACUCUUUCAGCUUCUUUCUCUUUCUCUUCCUCUUGAGUUCCUUCGUCUUUGGCAGUGAUGGGAGCUGCUUCGUCUGGAACAAUGAGAUCUUUGUCUUCGCCUGGUGUGGAAACUUCUGGUACUGCUUUCUCUUUGUCUUCCUCCUGAGUUUCUGCGAGCUGAGUUCCAUCGUCUUCGGCAGUAAUGAGAGCUGCUUCGUCUAGAGCAAUGUCGCCUUUGUCUUCGGCUGGUGUUGUUGCUUCUUCCUUGUCGUUCUCGUGGACGAUGCUUGUUGUUUCGAGCUCCUUAGCCUUCUGAUCCUCGCGAUUCUCUGCUGGAUGAGUUCCUUCACCAGCAGCUACCGCCGCUUCUUUCUCUUCGUCCGCAGAUACUAUUGUUUCUUCAACUGUUGCUUCUUCAUCUUUGCCCGCUUCUUGGUCCGGAAAGGUGACAUCUGCGUCGUGAAAUUCUUCCUUGUCCGGACUUAUACCUUCUGCUACUUGAGUUUCGUCGUGCACCUCCUCCUUGUCCGGAAUUGUAUCUCCUGCUACUUGAGUUUCGUUGUGCACCUCUUCCAUGUCCGGAAUAAGAGUUUCCUUGUGCACCUCGUCCUUGUCCAGAAUUAUAUCUUCGGCUACUUGAGUUUCGUCGUGCACCUCUUCCUUGUCCGGAAUUAUAUCUUCGGCUACUUGAGCUUCAUCGUGGAUCUCUUCUCUGUCUGGAAUUAUGUCUUCUGCUGUCUGAGUGCUCGUGGAAAGAGCAUCCGUUUGGAGAACUGUUGUUUCUUUCUCUUUCUCUCCGCUUGGAUCUUGAUCUUCUGCUACUUGAAAUCUUUCCUCGCGUUUGUCAGUUGCUUCCAUCUCCGAGUUUUCUGCGAUCUUAGCCUGAGUUUCUUCACUGCUCACUGUUUCUUGCACCUUUUCUUCGUCGUCGCCAGCAGCUGGAACAUUCCUGUCCACGGCUUCGUCUUUCAAAGGUUCGUGUUCAAUCAGAUUUGUUGACUCCUCGGUGUCUCUAAUAUCUUGCUCGCCUUCUUCAGUCCGACCUUCCACUGGAUUUUGGAUUGCUUCGUCACCACCUUCGACUGCCUUGUCCUCCCUGGCUUCGAUAGCUCCCUCGACAUCUUGGACUGUCGACG